CACAAUUAACAUCCAUCACCCGUAACGACUGGCAGCAUCUCUGCUUGGGGGCUUCAUUGAAGAUGGGGGUGCCGGGGUGGAAGGGGUAUAUGCAGAGCUGGCACCAUCCUUGUAGUGGCGGUAAGCAUCAAAUUCACCUUCUGGACUCAUUUUUGCCCAUUCUUGACCCACCCGUAGCGUAGGUGGGAGACAAGCGUCCCUGAGUUGGAGGAGCUGGAUGAGGUUGGAGAAGGUUUCAGGGCCUCUCCUGCUCUCUCAUCUCACUGCAGUGCCUCAGCGCCCACGACACGACCCGCAGCGUCCUCUCCUCCCCACCCAAAUCCCUCGGCCAGCUCUUCCUUCUCCUCCAGUACCAAGCUCUGGCCAGUCGCAUCAAGGUGCUGGUCCGCAAGGCAGAGCAGCUGGGCCGGCUCUCGCGCAUGCCAGGCACGCCAGGCCACUACGUCAUCAUCCACCUUUACCACAAUGGCCACAUCAUCGACACCAAGGAGACCAAGUGCAUCACCGGCUACAACCCCGUCUGGAACACGCCCUUCCUCUUCAACCUCCCCGCUGGGGACAUCCAGCAGCAGGAGUUGUCCUUGGAGUUCACCGUCAUGCAGGCUCACAUCUACACCCGCAGCUCCCCGCUGGGCCGCGUGCGGGUGGGUCCCCGCGCCCCUGGGGCCGGGCUGCUGCACUGGAGGGAGAUGUGCAGCCGGGGACAGCCGGAGUCGGCGCGGUGGCACCGGGUCCAGCCCGAUGCCCCCAGACCCUGAUCCUGUCUGCAGCCCACGGGUGGAACUCACAGGAGCGAGACAAGGGGCAUCUCCAAGCCUGGGAGAGGUGAAGUCUCAGCCUGCAUAGUGUCACGGGGGAAGUCUGGG
rnacentral:lncRNA from 1 species